GGGAGCCGUAUGACGCGAGAGUGUCACGUACGGUUCUUUGAGAAGGGUGUGGGUACCUGCAGGAGCUUUUUCUUGACCCAUU
rnacentral:ncRNA from 1 species